AGAGAUAUAGCUCAGUGGUAGAGCACAUGCUUAACAUGCACGAGGUCCUGGGUUCAAUCCCUAGUACCGCUA
rnacentral:tRNA from 1 species